rnacentral:rRNA from 1 species
AAUAGAUACCCGGGUAGUCCACGCCGUAAACGAUGAGUGCUAAGUGUUAGAGGGUUUCCGCCCUUUAGUGCUGCAGCUAACGCAUUAAGCACUCCGCCUGGGGAGUACGGUCGCAAGACUGAAACUCAAAGGAAUUGACGGGGGGCCCGCACAAGCGGUGGAGCAUGUGGUUUAAUUCGAAGCAACGCGAAGAACCUUACCAGGUCUUGACAUCCUCUGACAACUCUAGAGAUAGAGCGUUCCCCUUCGGGGGACAGAGUGACAGGUGGUGCAUGGUUGUCGUCAGCUCGUGUCGUGAGAUGUUGGGUUAAGUCCCGGCAACGAGCGCAACCCUUGAUCUUAGUUGCCAGCAUUUAGUUGGGCACUCUAAGGUGACUGCCGGUGACAAACCGGAGGAAGGUGGGGAUGACGUCAAAUCAUCAUGCCCCUUAUGACCUGGGCUACACACGUGCUACAAUGGAUGGUACAAAAGGGACUGCAAGGACCGCGAGGUCAAGCCAAUCCCAUAAAAACCAUUCUCAGUUCGGAUUGUAGG